GAUGAACGCUAGCGGCAGGCCUAACACAUGCAAGUCGAGGGGUAGCAGGAUUAAGCUUGCUUAAUUGCUGACGACCGGCGCACGGGUGCGUAACGCGUAUGCAACCUACCUUAUACUGGGGUAUAGCCCGGAGAAAUUCGGAUUAAUCCCCCAUAGUACUAAUAAAUCGCAUGGUUUAUUAGUUAAAGCAUUGCGGUAUAAGAUGGGCAUGCGUCCUAUUAGCUAGAUGGUGAGGUAACGGCUCACCAUGGCUACGAUGGGUAGGGGGCCUGAGAGGGUGGUCCCCCACACUGGUACUGAGACACGGACCAGACUCCUACGGGAGGCAGCAGUGAGGAAUAUUGGUCAAUGGGCGCAAGCCUGAACCAGCCAUGCCGCGUGCAGGAAGAAUGCCCUAUGGGUUGUAAACUGCUUUUAUUUGGGAAUAAACCUCUUUACGUGUAGAGAGCUGAAGGUACCAAAUGAAUAAGCACCGGCUAACUCCGUGCCAGCAGCCGCCGUAA
rnacentral:rRNA from 1 species